GACGAACCGUGCGAACGUUGUUCGGAAUCACUGGGCUUAAAGGACGCGUAGGCGGCUCUUCUUGUCUGGGGUGAAAUCUUCCGGCUCAACCGGAAGCGGUCCUCGGAAACGGAAGGGCUGGAGGAAGGUAGGGGCGGGCGGGAACUUCCGGUGGAGCGGUGAAAUGCGUAGAUAUCGGAAGGAACACCUGUGGCGAAGGCGGCUCACUGGCCCGGUACUGACGCUGAGGUGCGAAAGCGUGGGGAGCAAACA
rnacentral:rRNA from 1 species